AUUUUUUUAUAUCAAUCAAUUAUGAACUUGUAAAUUAUAACUGCAAACGGCAAUGCAGUUUGGAUUUAUAUGAAAACUUAAAAUGUGUUUUUAUUUUCUAAGAAACUUGUUCUACAAACGCAACUAAAAAAGUUAUCGUUUGGAAACAAAAUGUAUCUUUUUGAACGUCACAACCAACGUAAAAACAUAGAAACAUGUAUUAAUUAGAAAUCAUUUUCUACCUCAUGAAUAGCCAGCCUCCUCUGUGAAGUUUACGAAUCUUUUGUCCAUUAUCUUUCUUUAUUGUAAGAUUAAUAUAUUAUUACGAAUAGAUAUAAAUAGAUAUUGUAUUUUGAACAUAUAAUCAAACAAGUAAUAAAAUGGGAAUAUGCUCAACAAAGAGCAUGUCCACAUCAAUAGAUUAAUUCGAGCUAAUCAGAUUCUACAAAUAUGCCAUGUCAGCACGAUUUUAAAAACUUUCGAAACUUUAGAAAAUCGUUUAUUUCCAGCCCAUUAUAUUAUAGAUUCGGUGGGCCAUUUGUAACCCAUAUUAUACGUUUUGUUUAAAGUGGCCAAGACCCAAGUUUAUUAAACCCCUAUUCUGACCCAAAUAAGCUUCUAAGUCGCCUAAUCGUCAUAUUCAUCUUGCAUCUAGGGUUUCUGCACUGUAGCAACUCAUCUCGC
rnacentral:lncRNA from 1 species